GAUGAACGCUGGCGGCGUGCCUAAUACAUGCAAGUCGAGCGAACGGACGAGAAGCUUGCUUCUCUGAUGUUAGCGGCGGACGGGUGAGUAACACGUGGAUAACCUACCUAUAAGACUGGGAUAACUUCGGGAAACCGGAGCUAAUACCGGAUGAUAUUUUGAACCGCAUGGUUCAAAAGUGAAAGACGGUCUUGCUGUCACUUAUAGAUGGAUCCGCGCUGCAUUAGCUAGUUGGUAAGGUAACGGCUUACCAAGGCAACGAUGCAUAGCCGACCUGAGAGAGUGAUCGGCAACACUGGACCUGAGACACGGUCCAGACUCCUACGGGAGGCAGCAGUAGGGAAUCUUCCGCAAUGGGCGAAAGCCUGACGGAGCAACGCCGCGUGAGUGAUGAAGGUCUUCGGAUCGUAAAACUCUGUUAUUAGGGAAGAACAUAUGUGUAAGUAACUGUGCACAUCUUGACGGUACCUAAUCAGAAAGCCAGGGCUAACUACGUG
rnacentral:rRNA from 1 species